rnacentral:rRNA from 1 species
CCUACGGGUGGCUGCAGUGGGGAAUAUUGCACAAUGGGGGAAACCCUGAUGCAGCGACGCCGCGUGAGUGAAGAAGUAUUUCGGUACGUAAAGCUCUAUCAGCAGGGAAGAAAAUGACGGUACCUGACUAAGAAACACCUGCUAACUACGUGCCAGCAGCCGAGGUAAUACGUAGUGGGCGAGCGUUAUCCGGAUUUACUGGGUGUAAAGGGAUCGUAGACGGCAGAGCAAGUCUGGAGUGAAAUCCCAUGGCUUAAACAUGGAACUGCUUUGGAAACUGUGCAGCUAGAGUGCAGGAGAGGUAAGAGGAAUUCCAAGUGUAGCGGUGAAAUGCGGAGAUAUUUGGAGGAACACCAGUGGCGAAGGCGGCGGACUGGACUGUAACUGACGUUGAGGCUCGAAAGCGUGGGGAGCAAACAGGAUUAGAUACCCGAGUAGUC